rnacentral:rRNA from 1 species
UUGACCUCGGAUCAGGUAGGAAUACCCGCUGAACUUAAGCAUAUCAAUAAGCGGAGGAAAAGAAACCAACAGGGAUUGCCCUAGUAACGGCGAGUGAAGCGGCAACAGCUCAAAUUUGAAAUCUGGCCCUCGGGUCCGAGUUGUAAUUUGUAGAGGAUGCUUUUGGUGCGGUGCCUUCCGAGUUCCCUGGAACGGGACGCCAUAGAGGGUGAGAGCCCCGUCUGGUUGGACACCAAGCCUCUGUAAAGCUCCUUCGACGAGUCGAGUAGUUUGGGAAUGCUGCUCUAAAUGGGAGGUAUAUGUCUUCUAAAGCUAAAUACCGGCCAGAGACCGAUAGCGCACAAGUAGAGUGAUCGAAAGAUGAAAAGCACUUUGAAAAGAGGGUUAAAUAGUACGUGAAAUUGUUGAAAGGGAAGCGCUUAUGACCAGACUUGAGCCCGGUUAAUCAUCCAGCCUUCUGGCUGGUGCACUUGGCCGGCUCAGGCCAGCAUCAGUUCGGCGCGGGGGAUAAAGGCUUCGGGAAUGUGGCUCCUCCGGGAGUGUUAUAGCCCGUUGUGUAAUACCCUGUACUGGACUG